UACGGAAGGCAGCAGUGGGGAAUAUUGCACAAUGGGCGAAAGCCUGAUGCAGCUAUGCCGCGUGUAUGAAGAAGGCCUUAGGGUUGUAAAGUACUUUCAUCGGGGAGGAAAAACAAAACUAAUAAUUUUAUUUCUUGACGUUACCCGAAAAAGAAGCACCGGCUAACUCCGUGCCAGCAGCCGCGGUAAUACGGAGGGUGCUAGCGUUAAUCAGAAUUACUGGGCGUAAAGAGCACGUAGGUGGUUUUUUAAGUCAGAUGUGAAAUCCCUGGGCUUAACCUAGGAACUGCAUUUUGAAACUGAAAUACUAGAGUAUAGUAGAGGGAGGUAGAAUUCUAGGUGUAGCGGUGAAAUGCGUAGAUAUCUGGAGGAAUACCUGUGGCGAAAGCGGCCUCCUAAACGAAUACUGACACUGAGGUGCGAAAGCGUGGGGAGCAAACAGGGAUUAGAUACC
rnacentral:rRNA from 1 species